rnacentral:rRNA from 1 species
GAUGAACGCUGGCGGAAUGCCUAAUACAUGCAAGUCGAGCGGCAGCACGAGUAGUUUACUACUUGGUGGCGAGCGGCGGACGGCUGAGUAACGCGUGGGAACGUGCCCCAAAGUGAGGAAUAACUGCCCGAAAGGGUAGCUAAUGCCGCAUAUGAUCUUCGGAUUAAAGUAUUUAUUACGCUUUGGGAGCGGCCCGCGUC